AUGGGUGAAACUCAGAAAGAGAAUAACAUUAAAGAACCUGGUGCAAUGAGAGUGAAAGCAGCGGACAGCUUGGAAAAUUUUGAGCUGCUUCAGACUGCUGAUGCUAGCAACAAAACGACUGCACAACUUACUCAAGGAACUACUGGAAAUGGGAUGAAGGCUCUAGACAGUGCAGGUGAAAGCAUGCAGAGCGGACAGGUAUUUUCCCCGAGAGGCGACGAGAGCAAAGAAUUGGAUUUCCCUGCGACACUACAAGAUGUUCCUUGUGAUAAGCAAACGAGUGCAGCACAAAGCACGUGUGAAACUGCGAAAAAGAAUAACAUUGAAGAAUCUGGUGCAAAGAGAGUGAAAGCAGAGGACAACUUGGAAAAAUUUGAGCUGCCUCGGACUGCUGAUGCUAGCAACGAAACGACUGCACAGUCUACUCAUCAAGAAACUAGUGGACAUGGGAUGAGUGCAGCACAAAGCACGGCAGCGGGCAGCUUGGAAAAUUCUGAGCUGCCUUGGACUGCUGAUGCUAGCAACGAAAUGACUGCACAGUCCUCAUCAAGAAACUAG
rnacentral:rRNA from 1 species